UACGUAGGGUGCAAGCGUUGUUCGGAAUUACUGGGCGUAAAGGGCGCGUAGGUGGCCUUCUAAGUUGAACGUGAAAUCCCUGGGCUCAACCCAGGAACUGCGUCCAAGACUGGGAGGCUUGAAUCCGGGAGAGGGAUGCGGAAUUCCAGGUGUAGCGGUGAAAUGCGUAGAUAUCUGGAGGAACACCGGUGGCGAAGGCGGCAUCCUGGACCGGUAUUGACACUGAGGCGCGAAAGCCAGGGGAGCAAACGGG
rnacentral:rRNA from 1 species